GUCAGGCCAAGAGGAUCUAGGGGAUCAUGCAGGCCUGGACAGGCUCAGGGCUGCCUCUGGGCCCCCUCAGCUCUGACCUGCUCCGGCUGGGAGCAGCUAGGCUCCUGCAAUAGUAGGAAUGCUCCCAGCUUCUGGCCCGUCUGUCCCCCAGACACUUCUUCAGGGGAAGGCCACCUCAACCUUGGCCCUGAUCGGCUCUGGAAGGCAGGUCCCAGCUCUGCCACUGGGACGUCACUGAACCUCACAUUGGUUUUUCCUUUUUAAUUAAACCUGUAUCAUCAC